ACACAGGUGACAGAAAAAAAAUAUUAUCAUUAGAACAAACUCCAUUCAACAGUUAGUAAACAAGUUGUUGGGAAAAUGAAAGAUGAAUUAUCUGGCAACUGAUCAUGAUGUAUCCUCCAUAACAUCUACGGCAGACAAAUUAACCAUGAUUCAAACUGCCACCCAAACCAUGGGAACCAUGACAGAAACAAUGACCUUUACAGUAUCUGAAGCACAGGUGUCUUCUCCAAAGGCAGCAGACAAGACUGCUACGUAUACUUAUGUUCAUUGCUAUCGCCCUGAUUGUCUGCUGUUACAGAUGCUUUAAAGCCAGAGCCCGCAAUUCAUCAAAGAAAACAAACCUGUUUGAACUUUCAUCUGACAUACAUUUUGAAGUACCUGAAGCCAUUAAGAUAGAUUAAUUUUUAGAAUUUAAUUUUUUGAAUAUUCCAACAUUUUCUAAGUCAUGUGGAAGUCAUUAUUCAGAAUUUCAAAUAUAUUGAUUCUUACAGGUUACUUUCAGUAUAUGAUUUUGCUGACUCUGCUUAUAUUACAUCAACUGUUUCCAGAAAAUGAAUUUGUCAUUCAAUUAAACCAACUUGUAAGGCGUAUACCAGCUAUAGCUCGUGGCAUUAACGGGAACAGACAAAGUAAUCAACCAGAACCUCAUAGUACGGCGGCUUUGUGAAAAAUUGUGCACAUCCUGCUACAAGCAUGAAAUUUGGCAUAGACCUUCCUCAACUAUUACUCUUUUAUAUCAGAUAGGGAGGCAUUUGAA